rnacentral:lncRNA from 1 species
UCUUAGCCUAAGCUGUACUUCACUGUAAUGAAACCUGAGAAUAACAUGCGCCUCAUGGAGCUGUCAUAAGGAAUCAGUUGAUUAAUUGAGAAUUCUACACUCCAGCAAUAGCAGAGAUAGAUAACACAAAUGACAUUUGCCCGCCCAUGGCUGCCCAUGGACCAAUUGGUAUCUGCUUCCUUCCCUCUGAGGCCCAUAGAAGCCCUGGACUCAAUCUGACUCAAGGAGAUGAUGGGACUACCAGCUGCGGAAAGGAGCUACCCACUCCAAGGUCUCUGCUGAGAGCUGAACACUCAUCAAGACACCCUGCCUGCAGGGAGGAAUUACCCAAUGCUGGUCUCCUCUGAGCUGUUCCAUUGCUCAAUAUAACUUCUCUUUGCUUUGCUCACCCUCCACUUGUCCAUCUACCUCAUUCUUCCUGGACACAGGACAAGAACUUGGGACCUGCAAAAGGGCUGUAACACAAACAGGGCUGAAACACAUCCCUUGUUCGCCAUAUUGUAGGUGACAAGGAGGAGAGAAAAGAGGAGGAGAGAAGAGCUGCAGCCCUUCUGGGAGCCCAGACCUAGGAGAUCCCUGAGCCAGGGCUAUGACACCCUCUUUGGGGCUCUAUGGUUCCUGGUGCCUCCAAGCUUCCGGAAGCCACUGCAUUCCUCAGUGCCAGCUGUGGAAGCUGCUUGUGGUACAUUUGGUCCAGCCACAGCCUUGCAGGGAGCUGGCACCCAUGCUGGUGCCUAUAGCUCCCCACCCCACCGCAGCCGGCUUGCCUGGCUGUGCACAGUGGCCAGACCUCAUGCUCACUCAUGUACCCUUCACCACUCUGCACCUGGCCUGCCCUUGGCAGGUAUGGGAUUCAGGUAUCCAGCCCCAGCCGAUUGCAGCCUGCCAGGCUGAGUGGGUGGAAUGAAACCUGUGGGCCCAAACAAAACUCAAGGAAAGGCACCACUGGCCACAUACGUUUCCAGCUGGUGAAGUGACACCCCGAGAAUCCCAUGGCAUUAUCAUACACUCUUCUUAAAAACUGAACCCGAGGGAAAAAUGAUACCCUUGAACAGUGAGGGAUAAUGAAAGUUUAUUUAAUGAUUCUUGUAUUUAUUACUACUGCUUUACUGCCCGUAGCAGGUGUUACAAUGUACCGAUUUAUUAGGCUGUAGUUAGAAAACAAUUGCUUCUUUACACAUUAUAAAUGUAACCUGGCAUUAUAUUUAAGCUAAGAACAUGCAUGUUUUUAAUACUUGAAUUUCAACUCAAGAGAAAAAAAAAUAAUGUUCAUAAUAUGUUCUAUGUUACACUAGUUUGAUGGAUUUUUUAAUUACUAAAUACUAAUAUUAAGGGUAAUUUGAGGUAAAACAAAAAAUAAAAAGUUCAUGUAGUAAUCAAAGCAUCUACUCUGGUUUGUUAAAAAUGAAAA